UGAAAAGCGCAGAUGAGGAUAAGUAGCCUUGAUAAAGUUUUCCACAGAGAACCGGGUUAGCUGAGAACCGGCGAAGCUUUACAAGGUGAACUCGCCUCAGAGUGCCAGUCUGAAAUGACAGUAGGACUUGGCCGGGUGAACUUGAUUCACUCGUUACUAAAGCGGAUAGAAAUAUCCAUGAGACGGCCGAUUAACAGGCCGUAAACAAGGGUGGUACCGCGGAAAGAAAAGCCUUUUCGCCCCUUUU
rnacentral:ncRNA from 2 species